rnacentral:lncRNA from 1 species
AAAGUUUGGGAUUCCCAGUCUACAAAACCCCACAGCUCCUAGGAAUUCUCUCACCACCCUUGUGCCUUUAGGCUUCGGUAGAUUGCAAAUGACCUGCUUUCUUUCGGAUCCCGGGCUGCUUUCGGACACCUGUCGAAUAGUAAAUCCCAAGUAAGGUACCUGCGGUCGUCGGCAGAUCUGAAUUUUCUUCUUGGACACCUAAUACCCACAGCCCUCCAGAGACCGAGAGGUUGAUGUCACUCCCAAUAUCGGAGGAAGUAUACACCCCCGUGUGAGAUGGUCCUUAAUAAUAUUCCACGGCGGAGGGGGUGAUAUGACUACAUACAUGGCAGAAAGUGGAAACCUCCCAGGGAUAUUGUUCCCACGAUCCUGGAGGGAAGAAGAUGAUGUUACUUUCAAUAUGACAGAAGGUGGAUGAAGUGGUGGACUGCCCCUCCACACCUGUGGACACGCCCCCACUGAUAUUCCUUCUAAUUGCAGCGUGGGAGAGGAGGAUAUGACACGCGAUAUCGCAGGGAGUAGAAACACCCCUGUGAUACUGUUCUUAAUAUUCAGGGAGGAAGAGGAUGAUAUUACUCCCAAUACAGACGGGUGUACACCCUCUGUACACCGAGGGUGUACACCUGUCUGUGAAAGAGUUCUUAAUCUCCAGAGGGGGAGAUGAUAUUACUCACAAUAUGGUAAAGAGGCUGUGAGUCCACGGAGGAUCCUCAGAGCCAGCGGGGGAAGAGGGGCUGGCUCUCAGUCCCCGCCUCGCGGGGGUGACUCCCCCCAGUGCGAUGGGGGUCCUAAGAGCCAGUGGGGGAAGAGGGGCUGGCUCUGAGACCCCGCCUCGCGGGGGGUGCCUCCCCGCCCUGUGAUGGGGGUCCCAAGAGCCAGAAGGCUUAGAGGGGCUGGCUCUCAGUCCCCGCCUCGCGGGGGGUGCCUCCUCCCCCUGCGAUGGGGGUCGUAAGAGCCACUGGGGGAAUAGGGGCUUGCUCUCAGUCACCGCCUCGCGGGGGGUGCCUCCUUUCCUUUCUACAUAGACACAGUGACAGUCUGAUCUCUCUUUCUUUUCCCUACAGAUGGACACGCCCCCACUGAUAUUGUUUUUAAUGCAGCGUGGGAGGGGAGGAUAUGACACGCGAUAUCGCAGGUAGUAGAAACACCCCUUUGAUAGUGUUCUUAAUAUUCAGGGAGGAAGAAGAUGAUGUUACUCCCAAUACAGACGGAUGUACACCCUCUGUACACCGAGGGUGUACACCCGUCUGUGAAGGAGUUCGUAAUCUCCAGAGGUGGAGAUGAUAUUACUCACAAUAUGGUAAACAGGCUGCGAGUCCAUCGCGGAUCCUCAGAGCCAGGUGGGGAAGAGGGGCUGGCUGUCAGUCCCCUCCUCGCGGGGGGUGCCUCCCCCACUGCUAUGGGGAUCCCAAGAGCCAGUGGGGGAAGAGGUGCUGGCUCUCAGUCUCCGCCUCGCGAGGUGCCUCCCCACCCUGCGAUCGGGGUCCGAAGAGCCAGGGGGGAAGAGGGGCUGGCUCUCUUCGUGGAUGAUUCUUUUUCCAUUCUCAGGCAGUUUUCUUUUUUCUUUCUUUCUUUUUUUUUUUUUUGAGACUGAGUCUUGCUCUGUUGCCCAUGCUUUGCUCGAUCUCGGGUGACUGCAACCACUGCCUCCCAGGUUCAAGAGAUUCUCCUGCCUCAGCCUCCUGAGUAGCUGGGACUAGAGGCGUGUGUCACCACACCCAGCUAAUUUUUGUAUUUUUAGUAGAGAUGGGGUUUCACCAUGUUUGCCAGGAUGGUCUUUAUCUCCUGCCCUUGUGAUCCACCCACCUCAGCCUCCCAAAGUGCUGGGAUUGCAGGUGCGAGCCACCGGGUCCAGCCUCUCAGGCGAUUUUCAUACCUGCAUACUCUGAUCACUACUCUGUUAAACAGUCAAGGAGGGUAAGUAUUAUCUUCAGAUUUCCAGAGCUCUGUCUCUGUACAGCCCUCUCCUCCUCAAUAUUCUGCCCUAUGAAUUCUAGCCACAUUGGCCUUCCCAGGCUCACAGUUCUGUCUUCUCAACUCAGGAAGAUCUCUGAGUUCCAUCUGCAUUCUUUCUUCCUGUGCUGUGGCCUGGAAAGUUUUCUAAGGUGUUAGGGAGGUCAAUUGUGGGGCUAGCCUCAUUUGUUUCUCAUCUCUUGAGGAUCACUGCCCUUUGAUGCUUGAUUCCAGUGAUUGAUUCCCUUUGUUGCUUGAGGGCCAUAGUUUCAUAUAUUUUGUCCAGUAGUUUUGUUGUUUUAGGUCAGAAAGUAAUUUUGGUCUCUGUUACUCUAUCUUGGCCAGAAGUGUAAGACCUAAGCAUUUACACAUCAAAAUACUGCACACAUAAUUUUAGUUUAAGCUACUUUUUAAAAAAUCUCCUUCAUUUUCCAUUUAGCAUUCUAUUUAGGGUAUUACAUUGGUUUUUUUGAAAUUCUGUUAUUGGCAGUUUCUAUUGCCUAUCAAUCCCAUUUAAAGAUAGUGCAUAGGGUAUUCUAAAAUAGCUGUUAAGCAAAGAGAAAAUUGGGCCUGAUAGGGUGAGAAUCACAGCUCUAAUACCUAGAGUGACCUUAUAAUGUAUUGUCCAAAGGAGAUAUUUUUGACAGUGAAAGAGGGUGUUGUUAGUAAUUAUAUCAGGACCAUGGCCUAAACCAGGACUAUCCCAGGAAGCCUGGGACAUAUUUGUACCCCAUCUCUAUUUAAUGCCUUUAUACAAUUCUUUACUUAAUUCUACCAGCCUUUAUUGAGCCUGCUUUCUUUGUCUAGCUGAGUGCCACGUGCUGACGUCACUAAGAUCAAUACAGCAAACUCUGAAAGAUGGACAGAGAGACAGGAGAUGGUCCUUUAUAAUGCAGUGUGAUCUGUGCUGCAAUAGAGUUUUGGAAGCUAGAAGUUCAAAACGAGGUGUUGGCAGCACCAUGCUCUCUCUGAAGAUGCUAGGAAGAAUCUGCUCCAUGCCUUUCCAUUCGCUCCUGGGGUUUCCUGCAAGCCCUGACAUUCCUUGGCUUGUAGAUGCAUCACCCCAGUUUCCGCCCCCAUCAUCACAUGGCCUCCUCUCUGUGUGUGCCUCUGCGUUCCCUCUAUUCUUCUUCUAAGGACACCGACACCAGUCAUAGUGGAUUAAGGGUCCACUCCUAACCAAUUACAUCUGCAACAACCCUAUUUCCAAAUAAAGUCACAUUCUAAGAUUCCUAGGGAGAACCUGAAUUUUUGGGGGUGUGUGGAUACUGUUCAACCUGGGAUAUGGAGUAAAUAAAUGGCAAGGAAGAUUACAGAUGACUUUAAGCUAAAGAGGGAGAUAGGGUUAAAUGUAGGACUUUUUUUUUUUCCAGGACGGGAGAGGUUUAAACAUGUUACUACAUUGAAUAAAUGAAAUAA